UCCCUGGUGGCUCAGAGGUAAAGCACUUGCCUGCAAUGCGGGAGACCCAGGUUCGAUCCCUCGUAGGGAA
rnacentral:tRNA from 1 species